UACGUAGGGACCGAGCGUUGUCCGGAAUUAUUGGGCGUAAAGAGCGUGUAGGCGGCCUUUUAAGUCCUGCGUGAAAUCCUGCGGCUCAACCGCAGACGGUCGUGGGAAACUGGAAGGCUAGAGUGCGGGAGAGGAGAGUGGAAUUCCCGGUGUAGCGGUGAAAUGCGCAGAUAUCGGGAAGAACACCCGUGGCGAAGGCGGCUCUCUGGAACGCAACUGACGCUGAGACGCGAAAGCGUGGGGAGCAAACAGG
rnacentral:rRNA from 1 species